rnacentral:rRNA from 1 species
UAUGGCGGCCACAGCGGAGGGGUCACACCCGUUCCCAUUCGAACACGGAAGUAAAGUCCUCCAGCGAUUCUGGUUGUACUGCGGUGCGCGAGCCCGCGGGAAGCCAGAGGCGCUGCCAGCC